CGCCUGCCAAUAUAGGGGACAUAGGUUCAAGCCCUGCUUCAGGUAGAUUCUACAUGCCACGGAGCAGCUAAGCUAGCGUCACAGCUAGAGAAGGGACUGCGCUCACCACAGCUAGAGAAAGCCCACAUAACAAUGAAGACCCAGAGCACAGCCAAAAAUUAAUUGCUUUUAAAAUAAUAAUAAUAAUGUGACUUCCAAGACAAGGCCAUAAAAGGCACGUGGCUGCCGUGUUACGCCCUUUUGGCUCGCUUGCUGUUGGGGAGGCCAGCCGCCAUGUUGUGGGCACUCAAGCAGCCCCACGGCACAGCCCUUGAGGUGCGGAGCUGAGGCCGCCUGCCUCCAGCCUUGUGAAUGAACCCUUGGAGCAGGUCCUCCAAACCCCGGCUGACUCCUUGACUGCAGCCUCCUGAGAGACCCUGAGACAGAACCACCCAGCUGAGUCACUCCCUGAUUCCUGACCCACAGAAACAGUGUGAGAUAAAUAUCUGUUCUUUUAAGCAGAUCUACGAAUUUUCCGUUUUCUGCCGUGUAGCAAAUUAUCACAAACCUAGUAGCUUAAUAAAUUUAUUAUCUCACAGUUUUCCUAGGUCAGAAGUUUGGCGCAAGUUUUCUGCUCAAGGGUCUCGUUGGGCCAAAAUCGGGGUCAGCCGGGGUCCCAGUUCCCAUCUGGAGACUCUGGAGACUCUAGGGGAAAAAUCUCCUUCCAGGCUCCUUCUUGAUUUUGGCAAAAUUCAGUUCCUGUGCUUGUAGGUCUGAGGUCCCCGUUUCCUCGCCAAGUAUCAGCCGAGGGCUGCUCUCAACUCUAGAGGUGACCCACAUUUCAUCCACACACAGCCCCUCCCCCUCCACUCCAGCGACAGCCCAUCACAUCUUUCCUGUGCUUCAAAUCUCUGACUUCCUCUUCUGGCACCAGCCGGAGAAAACACUCCGCUUUUGAAGGGUUCAGGGGAUUAAGUUGGAUCCACUGGAUAACCUCCCUUUUGUAAAACCAACCUUAUAUCCUAACCUAAUCACAGGAGCAGAAUCCAUUAUAAACAUGUCCUGGGGAUGAGAUGGGGUGGUGGGAAAGGACAGGGGCUCUCUUAGAAUUCUUCCCUCCGUAGCACCAAGAUUUGUACACAGAAAACUAACGCAGCCAUUGAGAAGCUUUUCCCAUAUGGAAGCUCACGUCCUUCAGAUUUAGAACAUUUUUUUCCUUCCAUUUUCCCUGUUCUCUAACGUUGCAUCUUGAGGGACGAUUCUCUAGUUUCUUGAUCUUUUUAUGUCGGAUUUCGCUGUGUCUUUCUGGGAGGUUUUCCAGUCGCUUGCAAGGCUAAUAGUGAAAGUUUUUCUUUCUGCCCUCACCUCUCUAGUUCUUUCUUGGUCACUGAAUGUUCCUUUAUGCAGCGUCUCAUUCUCUUAGAGAUACAACGUCUCUUAUUUCUCUUAGGGUUUUUGUUUUGUGUUUUGUGUUUUUUUGUUUUGUGUUUGUCUUGUGUUUUCCUCCUCCCCGAGUUGGCCCUGUUUUCCAGGAGCUCUUUUCCUCUGCUGUUGUUGACCUCUGAUUUUCCUUGUACAAGCCUGCCUCCAGUGUCCAGUGAUCCUCGUCUGUGAGUUCACACUGAAGAUCAGGAGACUGAAAACAGACCAUCAGAAGCUUGCUGACUAUGGACAGGGCGUGUGGACAGCCUGCCCAGGGGCCUGGGCCUCCCCCGAACAAGAGCGACUUCCCGUCUCUGCACCGCAGCUUUCCCGUCUGCAAAGAAGGAGCCAAACCUCAGUGGGCCCUUGAGAGCAUCCGGUGAGCUGUGCCUCACAAGGACAACAUGGGUCGCCUUGCUGGCUCCAGCUGUCCCUCAGCUCCCUCACUGCACGAAGAAGUUACGAACCACCAUGAAUCAGGAGGUGUGAAAGUGUCUGCAUUCCAGCUUUCCUUGAGGGCAGAUGUCAGCUGGAGAGGGGAGUACCCUGGGCCCCAGAUCCCGGCAAAAUGAGUCUUGCUUCUUUCAGCCGGGGAGUUGUUCGGCCUCUUCUUAGGAUGAGUGAGUGGUUCCAUUUCACUCACUCACCCUUUGUUCCAAGCAAACCUGACCCCUGACCCUUGUUGCUCUUCAAACUCUGAUUACCCAAGACUCUCUGGGGUUGCCAGUGACAGAAGCAUAACUCAGACAAGCAUAAGCAGAAAAGGAACCUUGUGGCGUGUGUCACAGGGACAGUUAUACAGAUUCACUGGAAGGACUGAAGCUCCAAUACUUUGGCCACCGGUUGUGAAGAGCUGACUCAUUGGAAAAGACCCUGAUGCUGGGAAAGAUUGAGGGCAGAGGAUAAAGGGGUAACAGAGGA